rnacentral:rRNA from 1 species
GUCUAGCGGCGGACGGGUUAGUAACGCGUGGGAAUAUACCCUUCACUACGGAAUAGCCUCGGGAAACUGGGAGUAAUACCGUAUACGCCCUUUGGGGGAAAGAUUUAUCGGUGAAGGAUUAGCCCGCGUCUGAUUAGAUAGUUGGUGGGGUAAUGGCCUACCAAGUCUACGAUCAGUAGCUGGUUUGAGAGGAUGAUCAGCAACACUGGGACUGAGACACGGCCCAGACUCCUACGGGAGGCAGCAGUGGGGAAUCUUAGACAAUGGGCGCAAGCCUGAUCUAGCCAUGCCGCGUGAGUGACGAAGGCCUUAGGGUCGUAAAGCUCUUUCGCCAGAGAUGAUAAUGACAGUAUCUGGUAAAGAAACCCCGGCUAACUCCGUGCCAGCAGCCGCGGUAAUACGGAGGGGGUUAGCGUUGUUCGGAAUUACUGGGCGUAAAGCGCACGUAGGCGGAUUGGAAAGUAUGGGGUGAAAUCCCAGGGCUCAACCCUGGAACGGCCUUGU